UACGUAGGGUGCAAGCGUUGUCCGGAAUUAUUGGGCGUAAAGAGCUCGUAGGCGGUCUGUCGCGUCUGCUGUGAAAACUCGAGGCUCAACCUCGGGCUUGCAGUGGAUACGGGCAGACUAGAGUGCGGUAGGGGAGACUGGAAUUCCUGGUGUAGCGGUGGAAUGCGCAGAUAUCAGGAGGAACACCGAUGGCGAAGGCAGGUCUCUGGGCCGCAACUGACGCUGAGGAGCGAAAGCAUGGGGAGCGAACAGG
rnacentral:rRNA from 1 species